ensembl:lncRNA
UCUCACUUGGCAACCAGACCACGCAGCGGACAUAAUUCUCACGGACGGAGGAACCCAGGGAUCAGGAGGAAGGUUUUCCCCUGCAGGGCUUGAAUCUGCUGAAGGUGUCCGGUCCAAGAAGCGGCAACUUGCUCCUCCCCCCCUGUGCGCCGGUCCGAUUGUCUGCCCCGCCCCUGACUGUCCCCACCUGUCCCCUUACCCUGUGUGUGCAUGUGGGCCGCGUCUCCCUUUGUCCUGCGCCAGUCUGUCCCGUGUCACAGAUUCUGUUGAUUCAUUCAUUCUAGAUCCUUUUGUUCUUAGAUUUAGCAAAGGGCCUUUUUCCUCUUCCCGAGAGUGAU